rnacentral:RNase_P_RNA from 1 species
UGUCUGCAUCAGGUGAUCGCGCGACCCUUCGGGGAGCGAGGAAAGUCCGGACACGUACCUUUUAUAGGUAAGACGGUAGCAGGUAACGCCUGCCGGGAGCAAUUCUAGGGAUGCGAGCAGUGACGUGCUCAGCCGCAAGGUUGAGCACCCCUCACACUUGCUGUGAGGGGUAUACCGCCAGUAAUGGUGGAGUGAAACGGCAAAAUUCCUACCUACGUGCAAGGUCGUACUGAAUGUAUUCAGAGUGCCGCAAUGAGCGUUGUGGCGACAUAACGUCAAGAUAAAUGAUCAUCCCUGCUUUUGCAGGACAGAAUCCGGCUUAUCGAUGCAAACGUAUG